AUUGAACGCUGGCGGCAGGCCUAACACAUGCAAGUCGAACGAGUGGCGGACGGGUGAGUAAUGUCUGGGAAACUGCCUGAUGGAGGGGGAUAACUACUGGAAACGGUAGCUAAUACCGCAUACCGUCAUAUCUGCUCAGCUGGGAUUAGCUUGUUGGUGGGGUAACGGCUCACCAAGGCGACGAUCCCUAGCUGGUCUGAGAGGAUGACCAGCCACACUGGAACUGAGACACGGUCCAGACUCCUACGGGAGGCAGCAGUGGGGAAUAUUGGACAAUGGGCGCAAGCCUGAUGCAGCCAUGCCGCGUGUAUGAAGAAGGUCUUCGGAUUGUAAAGCACUUUAAGUUGGGAGGCGUUACCAACAGAGUAAGCACCGGCUAACUUCGUGCCAGCAGCCGCGGUAAUUC
rnacentral:rRNA from 1 species